rnacentral:lncRNA from 1 species
GAAACAAUGAUUUACUCAAGUCUCUUAUUAUGUUGUUGUACCACCAAAAACUACUGAACACCAUGCAACUAUUUCAGCUAAACUUUUAUAAGUUACAUCCUGAUUCAACAAAUUUCCCUAUAAAACUACUUGAGGUAGCAGAAACCACUAAAACAACUUUGUUACAAUAACAUACAGUUUCCUGGCUCCACCUAAUUACAAAGCCCAAGGUAAAUCCCUGGUAACCACUCCAGUGCAGCAGAAUUCAUUGAACCAUCGCUAGAUAAGCUAGAUGUACAUCCAGAUAUUGAACAAAUUUGACAUCUCUGUAGAAAACUCGCCUGGAAGUCAUUCUUGGCAUCACAGCUGAUUUCAUGUCAAAACGUGUCGAUGCAGCUGAAUUAACUAUCUGUCCCCUCCGAACAUUCAUGCUUUCGAGUCUGCUUCAUCUUUGCCACCAACUCCAUGUGUUGGACAUUCAUAUUUCGGGACAGCGCACUCAUUUCACCUUUCUUUGGGAUUUUGAGCCCCUUCAUCUUACUCCAAAUCUUGGCCUUUGAUGACAACUAAUGAUUUUCUGGUCAUUUAUGUGCAUCAAGUACAUGCCUACAAAAUCUCUUAGAUUUGUGCAUGGAGAAAAGUAGCAAUAGAAAUAGCCAUAACCAAUAAAACUUAUGUAUAUUAGGCUAUCAAUUCAAGGUCUUUUCAGGGUUGGCAACGGGCGAAAACAGAACAAGGCCUGUCAGGCUGCACUUUGGACUGAGAUUUGGCAAUUUCUUGUUUGUGGCUAAUGGCACAUGGAGUUUCGAAUGUUAGCACCAGUUUCCUUCAUCUACUCGAGGAGAUCAAACCAUUGUUCCCUCCUUCAAGCAAACAACCUCCAACCAACACCAAUCUAACCACCAUCAUUGGGUAAUGACAAUGCCCACAAAGUUUGCCUCACUGCAUGAAACCCCCUAUCCCCAUCAUCUCCACCUUACUCUCCCAGACACAAACACUAU